rnacentral:lncRNA from 10 species
GUGAGAAAAGGCUGGGCUGGGGGAGAUGAAGAGCUACCACAGUUUCUGAUAGGCUGAGUGUGCAAAGAUCAGGAAAUACCUAGAUCCAGAAUACGGAGGCAUUAAAUAUUUGAAAACAAAUUUACCUCUCUGUUUCCUUCCUCUCAGCUGCACCGUACAUCAUCUCCUUGUAGGAUUCUAUCCCACAUCUUGUGCCUUCUAGAGUCUCCUGCUGUUCUUAUGGGCUUCUUUUGAAUCUUGAUUGUCUCCUAUUUGCAAAUGACACACAGAGUAGAAACUGUUUCUUAUUUUGUGGCUCAUAAAAUUAUGAAAAGACUGUCUGCAGUUGGAAUAAACAAGUUUUUGUAUUAGAGACAAAUCUCCUCUCAGUUUCUUCUUCUCCAAAACUGUUUUCAUUAAUUGCUAAAAAAAAAAGUAACAUGGAGUUUGAUAUUUGAGGAAUUUAUAGGGUAAUAAAAGUUUAAAAAGAAAUUGCUUUGGGGUAUGUCUUGUUCAGAUCCCCUAUAUUGUAAAUUGAAAAAAACAAAAACAAAAAACAAAAAAACAAACCCUAAAGUCUGUAUAGCAAAAGUGAAAAAAAUUCAGAAAGCAGAGUUCACAGCACUAAUGACCACAACUUUACAAGUAAAGUAUACAUCUUCAAUUUUGAAAUUCAAUUUAAAAUUGUGCUACAAAUCUGGUAGAUAAAAUAGUCACCCAGAUAUACAUGAGGUUGUAGUUUACACAUAAUUACUAUAUUUUCAUUUAUUUGGCUUGUUAGCCAAAAUGCAAGUGAACAAUCAUAGUCUCCACUGUGCAAGGGGCCAUUAUUUCAGUAGACUCCAUGUGAGAAGGGCCUGCUCAUAUAUUAAUAAAUCAACAGGUUCAGGUCAAGGAGGAAUGGCCAAACCAUUUUCUCGCUAGAUUGCACUUUCAUUGAAAACCUGCUCAUUAACUUAUUUAUAAAACUGAUAUCUCUAUAUUUCAUAUUCUGAUAUAUUAGCAUGAUUUAAUGUUAGGAAAGAUGCUCUAUAUUUUAUUCUUCUCAAAGUCCCUAGGAGAUGACUAGAAGAGAGUUAAUUGCUUAUAUUGUAAAGCUGAUAGUUACCACAUUUAUUUUUUCUUUUCUAGCAACAAACUUCACAUCCAUCAAAUUCUUAACAUGAACCAGGUUCUUUGCUUACAUUCGCAUAGGCAUAUCGGUCUGGUUUUACUUGUCAGGAGGGACUGAAGAAAGCACAGGACGUAAGUUCCUCCAAGAGCAUUCUUGGAGCAGCAUCUCAUCGCUGUCCUUGGGUGUAGCCUCCCUUUUGUGAGGUUCACUCCCUCAGCUGGAGGAUGAACCACAGUGCUGCUGCAGACCUAGCUGAUGUCACAGUUGUUCAAAAGGUUCCUCUUGAAGAAUGAAAUCCUUGGGCUGCCAUUAGGAACUGCAUGCAGUUAAGCCGUAUAACCUCUCUGAUUUUUAGUUUCUCCAUCUAUUUUAUAAAAUAAAACAUUGAAC